AACACAACGCGAAGAAAUAUGCACUACUAAGUGCAUAUUUCUUCGCGUUGUGUUUU
rnacentral:pre_miRNA from 1 species